rnacentral:tRNA from 2 species
GCCGCAGUAGCUCAGUUGGAAGAGCGCCCGGCUGUUAACCGGGCGGUCGGUGGUUCGAGUCCACCCCGCGGCGCCA